GCAUUGACCUGGUAUUGUGCUUCCAGGACCGGUACAAAAAAAACAGGAAAAAAAAAAAAGGGGCCUCUGAGGGUGAGGCUGGCCCCUUGCACUCUGGGCCUGCUGACCCCUCCAAUUUCCCCAUGGGGGAAACUUGACUGCAGAAUUUGUGACAGUGGGGGACUGUGUGUGUGCUCUCCCCUG
rnacentral:snRNA from 1 species